rnacentral:rRNA from 1 species
UACAGGGGGUGCAAACGUUGCUCGGAAUCAUUGGGCGUAAAGCGCACGUAGGCGGUCUGUUAUGUCGGAUGUGAAAGCCCUUGGCUCAACUGAGGAAGUGCAUCCGAAACUGGCAGGCUAGAGUACUAAAGAGGAUCGCGGAAUUCCCGGUGUAGAGGUGAAAUUCGUAGAUAUCGGGAGGAACACCGGUGGCGAAGGCGGGCGAUCUGGGUAGAUACUGACGCUGAGGUGCGAAAAGCGUGGGGGAGCAAACAGG